UUCCUUAUACCCUAGUGGUAUCUUGGUGGUGGGAUAAGGCUUAUGACCAUUAGGUUAUGGGUUCGAUUCCCACAAAGGGGG
rnacentral:tRNA from 1 species